rnacentral:misc_RNA from 1 species
AAGUCGUAACAAGGUAACCGUAGGUGAACCUGCGGUUGGAUCAUUAAAAAUAAAUUGAAGUUAGACUUCAAAACAAAGGUCUUAGGACCCGAGUAUACACCCUUGUGAACUGUUUAGCUUCGGCUAUAUUUAUAAACAAAUUUAUUAAGACUGAAUCAAUGAGAUAAUUAAAAAACAACUUUUAACAACGGAUCUCUUGGCUCUC